rnacentral:rRNA from 1 species
UACGGGGGGGGCAAGCGUUGUUCGGAAUUACUGGGCGUAAAGGGCUCGUAGGUGGCCAACUAAGUCAGACGUGAAAUCCCCAGGCUCAACUUGGGAACUGCGUCUGAUACUGGAUGGCUUGAAUUCGGGAGAGGGAUGCAGAAUUCCAGGUGUAGCGGUGAAAUGCGUAGAUAUCAGGAGGAACACCGGUGGCGAAAGCGCUCAUCUGGCCCAAUACUGACGCUGAGGCGCGAAAGCUAGGGGAGCAAACGGG